GGUCCUAAUGUAACCAGUCACCGAAAAACCCUGAUAGAGAGUGGCUGUGCAUAUCUGUAUCUAAGUUAUCUUGCUCGCCCGAUUGAGGAUCGAUGUUAUGUUUUGAUAAAAUUCACAGAUUGGACAAAGCUUUUAUCAUGUCUGAACUCCUAGUUCUUAGAUAACUUAGAUACAGAUACAGUUAUGCACAGCCACUCCCUAUCAGGGUUUUUCGGUGACUGGUUACAUUAGGACC